GGGGUUGUGGCCUAAUGGUAAGGCGUUGGUUUUCGGUAAUAAUACUUCUAUAGAAACCCACCAAAGAUUGCAGGUUCGAGUCCUGUCAGCCUCG